rnacentral:tRNA from 1 species
GGUCUCGUAGGCUAAUGGUAGACCCUCUCGUUUACACCGAGAUGGCGCAGGUUCGAUUCCUGCCGGGACCA